AGCCAAUGGGAAGGCUGGAACUUUUUAGACUUGGGAAAGAAACUUUCCCUUUGUCUGUUGCUCGGAGUGACAGAGUGGGGAUUCAGCCUUGAUGGGCCUGGACUGGAACUGGGGAAUCCACCCAUCGCAGAGGAAGAAGCCUUCUUGAAUUGGGACAGAACCGGACUCAGGAUUCCAGCAGCGGUUGCACCAGUGCCAGAUACAGAGGCAUUGUGGGAGGCUCAGGGCUCGUGGGGAAGAUGGAGCUGGCUAUGGAAGAUAUGUCGAGAAAUAGCAAACUCUGACAAAAGGCUGAUUGCUGGAGCUGAGACAUAAUUAGGGGUGGAGGAAACUAAGACACCCGAAACCUGCAGGGGGGAGAGAAUACAAAGGAAGCAACCAAUGCACUCUAUUGACGGUGUGUCAUAGACACUAUACUGCCAAUACAUGACACUCAGUUGUUCCAGUCACACACUUUAGGGUGGCUCCUUUCUUCCUAACCCAGGGGUCUCUCUAGGUGAGGACCACGUUACUGUGAUAUCUUAGCACCUGACGACCUCUA